rnacentral:rRNA from 1 species
UACGGAGGUCUCAAGCGUUGUUCGGAUUCAUUGGGCGUAAAGGGUGUGUAGGUGGCGCGCUAAGUCGGGUGUGAAAUUUCGGAGCUUAACUCCGAAACUGCAUUCGAUACUGGCGUGCUUGAGGACUGGAGGGGAGACUGGAAUUCAUGGUGUAGCAGUGAAAUGCGUAGAGAUCAUGAGGAAGACCAGUGGCGAAGGCGGGUCUCUGGACAGUUCCUGACACUGAGACACGAAGGCCAGGGGAGCAAACGGG